rnacentral:lncRNA from 1 species
CUGGAUAAGAUACUUUCCAAAUCGAGAAAGCGUCCAGCAAGAUAUGCUUCUUAUGAGAGGGAAUUUAUCAUCUAAAAGCGGAAGAAGAAAUGCUACGAUCUGCAGAUAGCACUAGCAUGUUGAAGUACUUGAAGUGGGUGGAGAAAAAUCAAAUAUAUGAGAUGAUAUAAAAUUAAAACGAACUUGCCUCGGACAAGAGAGGGUAGAGACCAUUAAAGCAGCCUUCAGCAAUAGCCCCAAGGGUCAAAACAGCAGCUUCCCUUUCUUUCCAGGCCUCAUCACCAGAAGCUGAUAAUUUUGCCUGCCGUUUGGAAGAACAGGGUUUUAGUUUAUUGUAUCUAUUUCGAAAGACCGAUAUGAAUAACAUUUACCUGAAUAAGGGGCAUGAGUGCUGGAAGGAUUUCAUCUCCAAAUACAUUAGAGAGAACGUCAAUAGCUGCUGCACUGCACUUUCUUAAAUUCCACACGUUAAACGAGUCAUCAUCCUGUACCCAGAGAUAAUCAUUAAAGAGGGAUCUAUAGAUUAAUUUUAGUAUCAAAUGGUACUAAAAGAAGUAGAUCACGUACAUCGUCAUCAAAAUCCUCUGAUCCAUGAAGUCUUGAUGUAUGAAAACGAGGUUUCAAAUCCUGUCGGAGAAGCAAAAUGAAUGAACACUAAAAUAAUUUUUUAUAAGAAAAAAAAAAUCAAAGUCACGAGAACAAACAACUGCACCUGAUCUCUGUCUGGUUGAGACUCAUCUUCCUGCAAAAGUGAACAGUUUACAUAUGAUACAUGAUGGAGAAGUAUAUACUGAGAAAGGUGAAGAAACAUAUAAUAUCAACAGAAAAACAACCUCGGCAUCCAAAAGCGACUCAUCGUCAUCUGCAUAAGCCAUGUUUGAGAGCAACACCUAAAACAGAUAUAUUUUACGAAAAAUUCAAAUUACACCAUUAAGUACCCAAAAAUAUACUGAAGAAAAGGAGAAAGUGUCUCUAUACUGGAAUUAGGCGUGGCAGAAACUCUUUCAAGUUCUCUGUAGGUAGCUGAGCAUCACAGUAUGCAGACCUGCCAAAUAACAAUAAAAUGAGGACAGGGAUGGAAAAAACAGGCCAGAAACUGCAGAACAUACAAAAACAGGUGUAAAACCAUCAAAUAUAGAGCAAGAGAAUAACAUUUUACCAAAAUUCACAUGCUUCUAAAGCCACUUCUUCAUCAGGGUCUUUGUUAACUUGUAGCAUGUACUCCAUUACAUUCCUGAGAUGUGGCUGAAAUAGACAUUAAGGGAAGAUGCGAAACUUAAGAUGCAGGGUGGACGAAUAGCUCUAACAAAAUAUAAGAAGUACAAUGAGAAAUACCUCUAUAGACGAGGGGAGGACUUCCGUCAGAUGCACAAAUGCCGCGCAGACCUUUUUAACCACAGAAGAAGAGAAAUUAUACUUAGCGGACAAGAGAGGGUAGAGACCAUUAAAGCAGCCUUCAGCAAUAGCCCCAAGGGUCAAAACAGCAGCUUCCCUUUCUUUCCAGGCCUCAUCACCAGAAGCUGAUAAUUUUGCCUGCCGUUUGGAAGAACAGGGUUUUAGUUUAUUGUAUCUAUUUCGAAAGACCGAUAUGAAUAACAUUU